rnacentral:rRNA from 1 species
UGGUAGCUGGAUGACGGUUGAGCUGGUUUAAUAAGUGUGUAUAUUUAAAUAGAAAGUUAAAGUCAAGGUAAUAAUUCUUUGAUAUUUUAGGGGACGAUAAGACCCUAAAAGCUUAAUAAAUAUUAUAAUGGUUUUGUUUUUCAAGUUAGUUUGUUUUACUGGGGCGGUACUAGUAUUUUAACUAUUAGGUAGAUUAAGAUCCUUAAAAUAAAGAUGGAGCGUAAAAGUUACUUUAGGGAUAACAGUGCAAUAUUUUUGGAGAGAUCUUAUCAAUAAAUAUGUUUGCAACCUCGAUGUUGAAUUA